GGGUUGUGCCCUCUCAGACGUGAUAUCACGUCCCUCGUAUGUAAGUGUCAUGUUGCUAAAAAUAGUCUCGUAUUGAAGGGUUGUGACCCCUCAGACGUGAUAUCUCGUCCUUCGAAUGGAAAG